AGACCAACACCCCUGCUCCUGGCGGCUCCCACCCGGGACUUAGACCCUCAGGUCCCUAAUAUCCCGGAGGUGCUCUCAAUCAGAAAGGUCCUGCUCCGCUUCGCAGUGGAAUGGAACGGAUUUAGAAGCCUGCAGUAGGGGAGUGGGGAGUGGAGAGAGGGAGCCCAGAGUUACAGACUGCGGCGAGAGGCCCCAAAGAGUCUGAUGUUUACAAGACCAGAAAUGCCACGGCCGCGUCCUGGCAGAGAAAAGGCUGAAAUGGAGGACCGGCGCCUUCCUUAUAAGUAUGCACAUUGGCGAGAGAAUUAAGUGCUGCAACCUAAACCAGCAAUUACACCCAAGCUCGUUGGGGCCUAAGCCAGUACCGACCUGGUAGAAAAAGCAACCACGAAGCUAGAGAGAGAGCCAGAGGAGGGAAGAGAGCGCCAGACGAAGGUGAAAGCGAACCACGCAGAGAAAUGCAGGCAAAGGAGCAAGGCGGCAGUUCCCGGAACAAACGUGGCAGAGGGCAAGACGGGCACUCACAGACAGAGGUUUAUGUAUUUUUAUUUUUUUAAAUCUGAUUU
rnacentral:antisense_RNA from 1 species